CUGUGUUGUCUUUCUUGGACGUUUCCUCCCUAGACUUAGGGCCGCACCUGCUGCGGCCCUUUUUUUUGGUCUGC
rnacentral:sRNA from 1 species